rnacentral:rRNA from 1 species
GCGGCAAGAGCUCAGAUUUGGAAUCGUGUUUCGGCACGAGUUGUAAAUUGCAGGUUGGAGUCUUUGUGGAAGCGUGUGUCCAAGUCCCUUGGAACAGGGCGCCAUUGAGGGUGAGAGCCCCGUGGGAUGCGCGCGGAAGCAGCAAGGCCCUUCUGACGAGUCGAGUUGUUUGGGAAUGCAGCUCUAAGCGGGUGGUAAAUUCCAUCUAAGGCUAAAUACUGGCGAGAGACCGAUAGCGAACAAGUACUGUGAAGGAAAGAUGAAAAGCACUUUGAAAAGAGAGUGAAACAGCACGUGAAAUUGUUGAAAGGGAAGGGUAUUGGGCCCGACAUGGGGAUUGCGCAUCUCUGCUCCUUGUGGGCGGGGCGCUGUGCUUUUCCUGGGCCAGCAUCGGUUUUUGCCGCAGGAGAAGGGGUACUGGAAUGUGGCUCCUCGGAGUGUUAUAGCCAGUGCCAGAUGCUGCGUGCGGGGACCGAGGGCUGCGACAUCUGUCUCGGAUGCUGGCACAACGGCGCAAUACCGCCCGUC